ACAUGUUUUGUGUGUAGGUUCGGUGGGAGGUUUGUAGAUAAUAUUGCCACCCGAAUAUUGACUGAUUUCUACGAGAAUUGGACGUGAAGUCAUAAUAUGUUUUUGUGAUUUAUGAAUAAACAAACAAAAACACUAUUCAAAAGCAGAUAAGAGCUUAUAUCACUGAUCAAGCGUUUCCUUCACUCCCGACAAAACACAUUUCGCAAAUAAAAAUUUACCAAAUUCCAAAUUCCAAAUUUAUCCACAUAAUUACAGCACACUCCCAAAAUUUGAUUCUAAGCAUCUUCGAAUAAAUUAUUAUGGCGCCCAAGCAGGAAAACAAAAAAAAA
rnacentral:lncRNA from 1 species